rnacentral:SRP_RNA from 1 species
GCCGGGCGUGGUGGCGGGCGCCUGUAGUCCCAGCUACUCAGGAGGCUGAGACAGGAGAAUUGCUUGAACCCGGGAGGCGGAGCUUGCAGUGAGCCGAGAUAGCGCCACUGCACUCCAGCCUGGGUAACAGAGUGAGACUCUGUCUCAA